UGAGAGAGUUGGUGUGGUGAGCCCACAGGAAUCCAGCAGUGACAUAGAGACGCCUUUGCGGUCUCCUGAGAUUGCUGUCACAUGUGGGACGGAGGAGGAAGAGGCUGCCUUGGAGUCUGAUGAUGGAUCCACCACUUCUGGUCAUCUGGUUUCCGCCCCUGCCCAGUCACAGACCCCUCCCCAUGCACACACCCAUGACCAUGGCCACACCCCUGC